AAUACGUUCCCGGGCCUUGUACACACCGCCCGUCACACCACGAAAGUCGGCAACACCCGAAGCCGGUGGCCCAACCCUUUGGGAGGGAGCCGUCGAAGGUGGGUUGGCGAUUGGGGUG
rnacentral:rRNA from 1 species